UUGUGGCAAAAUUGUGACAGCAGCAA
rnacentral:piRNA from 1 species